GAAUUGGCUGCUCGCUUUGAAGAUUUAACCAUGCAAACUUGGCGAAGCUUUAUGCGAAGCGGUGGGACAGCUCAGUAAUACAGUUAUUAUUUAUUCAUUAAAUAUUUCUAUAACCAUGGUAAGCUAUGGCUAAAGAAAGAGAACAACUAUUUCUUAUGAGUAAAUUAGUUUGUUUUAGUAAUGAUUAAGUUUCUGACUCAUUAGUUAGUUGGUAGGGUAACGGCCUACCAAGACGAUUAUGAGUAACGGGGGUCUAUUGACCGAUACCGGAGAGGAAGCUUGAGAAUCAGCUUUCACGUCCACGGACGGCAGCAGGUACGAAACUUACCUAUUUCAUUUACGUGAGAGGUAGUUAUGAAGCGUCAUAUUCUAUAUGAUAAAUUAUUGUAAUCAGAUAAGCUUUCACUGGAGGGCAGUCUGGUGCCAGCAGCCGCGGUAAUUCCAGCUCCCAGUAGUACAAAUAAUGAUUGCUGCGAUUAAAACGUUCGUAGCCUAUUUAAUUAUAUACUGUGAGUAAAGUAAAGUUCUUAAAGCUCAUUAUUUAGCAUAGUAUGUAGAAAAUAUAGGAAUAGAUUAGGGAGAUAAUAUUUGAUGGUUAAUGGUGAAAAAUGAUGACCCAUCAAGGAUUAACUUAAGCGAAAGCAAUCUUCCAAUAUAUGUCUGUUGGUCAAGAACGUAAGCCAGGGGAUCAAAAGAGAUUAGAGACCUCUGUAGUCCUGGCUGUAAACUAUGCCAGCUCAACUUUGUUUUAUUUAGCAGAGUUGUAGAGAAAUUAAGAGCGUUUGGGCUUCAGGGGAUAGUAUGCCCAGCAANGGUGAAACUUAAAGAAAUUGGCGGAAGGCACACCACCCAGGAGUGGAGUACGCGGCUUCCAAUUUGAUCUCAACCCGGGACAACUUACCAGGCCCUUAUGAAACAAGAAUGUUGUAUUUUUUGAACCUACAUGAUUAUUCAAAGAGUGGUGCAUGGCCGUUUUCAACACGUGGGGUGACUUGUCUGGUUUAUUCCGAUAACGUGUGAGGUCCUAAGACCAACUAUUUUUGUUUGUCGACAGUCUGUGGCAAACAGAAGGAAGUUGGACCAUAACAGGUCAGUGAUGCCCUUAGAUGUUCUGGGCUGCACGCAUACUACAAUAGUAAUAACAAUUAAGGAUUGAGAGAUUCUUCAGUGUAUAAUUAUUACUUUAGUAGGGAUAAAGCAUUGUAAUUUGCUUUUGAACACGGAAUUCCUAGUAAUCGCAGGUCAUUAACCUUCGAUGAAUACGUCCCUGUUCUUUGUACACACCCGCCCGUCGCUAUCUGAGAUGGCCGAUAUGAUCAAGUGGCAGGACUGAAGGAA
rnacentral:rRNA from 1 species